rnacentral:misc_RNA from 1 species
GAUUAGUGGAACAAGCACCACAAUAUACAAAAAUCAUGCUAAAAGCUAUGGUUGAAAUUGUUCAUCAGUUUCUUUAUGACAAGAAAGAUACUAUGGAAUGGAUCAGAAAAUGUCGUGAAAAUGUGAAGGAUACAUAUGCGGUUGUGGUGUUGAGGUUGGUUGUUAUAAUAUGUUUGCUUUAUUUGAACUUUGGAAUUUGCGGAAACACACUUCAUGACUUGCUGGGAAGGAACUACAUCACCGC